rnacentral:rRNA from 1 species
GAUGAACGCUGGCGGCGUGCCUAAUACAUGCAAGUCGAGCGAACGGACGAUAAGCUUGCUCCUCUGCUGUUAGCGGCGGACGGGUGAGUAACACGUGGAUAACCUACCUAUAAUACUGGGAUAACUUCGGGAAACCGGAGCUAAUACUGGAUAAUAUUUUGAACCGCAUGGUUCAAAAGUGAAAGACGGUCUUGCUGUCACUUAUAGAUGGAUCCGCGUUGCAUUAGCUAGUUGGUAAGGUAACGGCUUACCAAGGCUACGAUGCGUAGCUGACCUGAGAGGAUGAUCGGCCACACUGGAACUGAGACACGGUCCAGACUCCUACGGGAGGCAGCAGUAGGGAAUCUUCGGCAAUGGGCGCAAGCCUGACGGAGCAACGCCGCGUGGGUGAUGAAGGUCUUCGGAUCGUAAAGCUCUGUUAUUAGGGAAGAACAGAUGCGUAAGUAACUGUGCACGUCUUGACGGUACCUAAUCAGAAAGCCACGGCUAACUACGUG